GACGAACGCUGGCGGCGUGCUUAACACAUGCAAGUCGAACGGAGCGAAUGAAAGCUUGCUUUUAUAAGCUUAGUGGCAAACGGGUGAGUAACACGUAGGCAACCUGCCGACAGGAUGGGGACAACAUUCCGAAAGGAAUGCUAAUACCGAAUGAAGCGGAGGGGAGACAUCUCCCUUCCGUGAAAGAUGGCCUCUAUUUAUAAGCUAUCACCUGUCGAUGGGCCUGCGUCUGAUUAGCUGGUAGGUGAGGUAACGGCUCACCUAGGCGACGAUCAGUAGCCGGUCUGAGAGGAUGAACGGCCACAUUGGAACUGAGACACGGCCCAGACUCCUACGGGAGGCAGCAGUGGGGAAUCUUCCGCAAUGGGCGCAAGCCUGACGGAGCAACGCCGCGUGAGUGAAGAAGGUCUUCGGAUCGUAAGGCUCUGUUGAUGGGGACGAACGUGCCUAAUGCGAAAUAGUAUUAGGUA
rnacentral:rRNA from 1 species